rnacentral:rRNA from 1 species
GACGAACGCUGGCGGCGUGCUUAACACAUGCAAGUCGAACGGUGGCGCACGGGUGAGUAACGCGUAGGUAACUAGCUAUUAGAGGGGGAUAACUAUUGGAAACGAUAGCUAAUACCGCAUACUAGUAGAUGGACCUGCGUUGUAUUAGCUAGUAGGUAGGGUAAUGGCCUACCUAGGCAACGAUACAUAGCCGGCCUGGGAGGGUGAUCCGCCACACUUGGACUGAGACACGGCCCAGACUCCUACGGGAGGCAGCAGUAGGGAAUCUUCGGCAAUGGGGGGAACCCUGACCAAGCAACGCCGCGUGAGUGAAGAAGGUUUUCGGAUCGUAAAGCUCUGUUGUUAAGGAAGCGGUACUUAACCAGAAAGGGACGGCUAACUACGUGCCAGCAGCCGCGGUAAUAC